UUUUUUUUCUUUUUAUUCCUUUUUUUUUUCUUUUAAAAUUUUCCAUUUUAAGUUGGUUAUUUCUGAUUUAUAUUUAAAAGCAAAUAAUAAUGAUAUGGUAGGAGAUACACACCAAACAGGAUGUGUAAAUUAUUAUAUAAUAAGUAUUGUGCAAUAGCAAGAAAUUUUCAAUUGCACAGUAUUGCACAAUAGCAAGAAAUCUUCAAUUGCACAGUAUUGCGCAAUAGCAAGAAAAUCUUCAAUUUAACAGUAUUGCGCAAUAGCAAGAAAUAUCCAAUAGCACAAUAUUGCGCAAUAGCAAGAAAUUGUCAAUUGUACAGUAUUGCGCAAUAGCAAGAAAUAUUCAAUUGCACAGUAUUGUGCAAAAGAAGAUACUUCGUAUAAAUUGCUUAUUUCUUGAUCAAUUUCAAUGUGGUUUUAUUCUUGAAUUUUUGGGGUUCUUUAAUAUGCUGAAUCUAACCGUGUAUUAAGUUUUUGGAUUUUGGGCCCCGUUUUUAAAUUGGUCCACAUUGAGGUCCAAAGGGUCCAAAAUUUAACUUUGUUUGAUUUCAUCAAAAAUUGAAUUAUUGGGGUUCUUUGAUAUGCCGAAUCUAACCGUGUAUUUAGAUUUUUAAUUUUGGGUCCCAUUUUUAAAUUGGUCUACAUUAAGGUCCAAAGGGUCCAAAAUUAAACUUAGUUUGAUUUUAACAAAAAUUGAAUUCUUAGGGUUCUUUGAUAUGCUGAAUCUAAACAUGUGUUUAGAUUUUUGAUUAUGGGCCCAGUUUUCAAGUUGGUCCAAGUUGGGGUCCAAAAUUAAACUUUGUUUGAUUUCAACAAAAAUUGAAUAUAUGGGGUUCCUUGAUAUGCUGAAUCUAAACAUGUAUUUAGAUUUUAGAUUUUUGGCCCAGUUUUCAAGUUGGUCCAAAUUGGGAUCCAAAAUUAAACUUUGUUUGAUUUCAACAAAAAAUGAAUAUAUGGGGUUCUUUGAUAUGCUGAAUCUUACCAUGUAUUUAGAUUUUUUAUUUGUGGGCCCGCUAUCAAAUUGGUUCAUAUUGAGGUCAAAAGGGUCCACAAUUAAACUUUGUUUGAUUUCAUCAAAAAUUGAAUUAUUGGGGUUCUUUGAUAUGCCAAAUCUAACCGUGUAUUUAGAUUUUUAAUUUUGGGUCCUGUUUUUUAAAUUGGUCUACAUUAAGGUCCAAAGGGUCCAAAAUUAAACUUAGUUUGAUUUUAACAAAAAUUGAAUUUUUGGGGUUCUUUGAUAUGCUGAAUCUAAACAUGUGUUUAGAUUUUUGAUUAUGGGACCAGUUUUCAAGUUUGUCCAAGUUGGGGUCCAAAAUUAAACUUUGUUUGAUUUCAACAAAAAUUGAAUAUAUGGGGUUCUUUGAUAUGCUGAAUCUUACCAUGUAUUUAGAUUUUUUAUUUGUGGGCCCGCUAUCAAAUUGGUUCAUAUUGAGGUCAAAAGGGUCCAAAAUUAAACUUUGUUUGAUUUCAUCAAAAAUUGAAUUAUUUGGGUUCUUUGAUAUGCCAAAUCUAACCGUGUUUUUAGAUUUUUAAUUUUGGGUCCCGUUUUUUAAAUUGGUCUACAUUAAGGUCCAAAGGGUCCAAAAUUAAACUUAGUUUGAUUUUAACAAAAAUUGAAUUCUUGGGGUUCUUUGAUAUGCUGAAUCUAAACAUGUGUUUAGAUUUUUGAUUAUGGGCCCAGUUUUCAAGUUGGUCCAAGUUGCGGUCCAAAAUUAAACUUUUUUUGAUUUCAACAAAAAUUGAAUAUAUGGGGUUCUUUGAUUUGCUGAAUCUAACCAUGAAUUUAGAUUUUUUAUUUGUGGGCCCCGCUAUCAAAUUGGUUCAUAUUGAGGUCAAAAGGGUCCAAAAUUAAACUUUGUUUGAUUUCAUCAAAAAUUGAAUUAUUGGGGUUCUUUGAUAUUCCAAAUCUAACCGUGUAUUUAGAUUUUUAAUUUUAAGUCCCGUUUUUUAAAUUGGUCUACAUUAAGGUCCAAAGGGUCCAAAAUUAAACUUAGUUUGAUUUUAGCAAAAAUUGAAUUCUUGGGGUUCUUUGAUAUGCUGAAUCUAAACAUGUGUUUAGAUUUUUGAUUAUGGGCCCAGUUUUCAAGUUUGUCCAAGUUGGGGUCCAAAAUUAAACUUUGUUUGAUUUUAACAAAAAUUGAAUAUAUGGGGUUCUUUGAUAUGCUGAAUCUAACCAUGUAUUUUGAUUUUGGACAUUGGACCAUAAUAGGUAAAUUAAAAAAAUUCAAGUUCUUAGACCACAUUCUUUUGUGUCAGAAACCUAUGCUGUGUCAAAUAUUUAAUAACAAUCCAAAUUCAUAGCUGUAUCAAGCUUGAAUGUUGUGUCCAUACUUGCCCCAACUGUUCAGGGUUCGACCUCUGCGGUCGUAUCAAGCUGCGCCCCAGCGAAGCAUUUUAUUA